UUUCCGUAGGUGAACCUGCGGAAGGAUCAUUACUGAGUGAGGGCCCCUCGGGGUCCAACCUCCCACCCGUGUUUAACGAACCUUGUUGCUUCGGCCGGCCCGCCGCACGGCCGCCGGGGCGCAUCUUCCCCCGGGCCCCCGCCCGCCGAAGCAGCCUGUUAAGCCUUUCGGAAGUAUGCAGUAUAAGACAAUUAUUAAAUUAAUUAAAACUUUCAACAACGGCUCUUUGGGUUCCGGCAUGGAUGAAGAACGCAGCAAAGCUGAAGAGCACACGGCUGA
rnacentral:misc_RNA from 1 species